AUGAAAGAAUCAGAGGCGAUCCAUGGUGGUACAGGACAAGAAGCUUGUGCAUCGAAAUGGCUCUUGUUGGUGCUUACUGGGAUCAGUGGCGGUGGUGGUGGCGGUGCCGUUGAAGGAGCAGGUGGCGCCGGUGCUGGCGCUCUUCUGGUAGUAGUCAUUGUAGGCGUAGGAGGCCAGCGCCGCCACGUUGUUCUGCUUGUAGCACGCCCCUCCGGGCUGCACCGCCGAGCAGUCGGCCUGCCCCUGCCCGCACGCCCAGCUCAGGCCCGCCUGCAGCGCUGUCGGGUCCGCGUUCUGCAAGGCCACGCAGAACGUCCCCGUCGCCAGCGACCGCCUCCCACCUCCACCGGCGGUCAUGGGAUGACGGCCAUACAAGUAGCUGUGGUACACCAGCGCGCCACUGAGAGCGAGCUCCGCCGACUCUGCCGCGAUCAGUGGGAUGCCUGA
rnacentral:rRNA from 1 species